UCGGGCAAAAUAUCAAGUAAUUUCGCAAACUAUUUAUACAUGUUUGCAUAUUCAAAAAGCGGUCUGGAAACACACACACAUGCAGCAAACCGCCGUUGUGAAAAAGGAAACCCGAUGAUGACAAUGUAAAACGAAACAGGAGUAUUCUACGGUUUUUUCUUUUCCGGAACACUUACACAUGCACUUAAAAAAGCCUUCGCAAUUGCAGUUCCUUUGAUGGAUGAUGAAGAAGAAAUCGGCCAGGAAUUUCUUCAACGUCGCCGCCGUCCGUCGCAGAACGAUAAUAAAAGCGAAAUGCAAAGACACACUGGCCAAAUACAACUACAACAAAGAUCGAAGAAAAGAGAGGAGAGAACAAGAACCACGAAAUGAGAGCAGUGUUGGCAAACGUGCGAAAUCAACAGAGAGAGCGAGUGGGCAUGCUCACAGAGAGAGAGAGAGGCAGUGGGAGCGCAAAAGACCGACAAUUUAUUUUACUUUUAUUAACAUGCGCGCAAAAUAUUUAUAUAAAUUGAUUACACACUUUUGGUCCUUUUA